UAACGCGUGGGAAUCUGCCCUGUGGUCAGGAAUAACAUCGGGAAACUGGUGCUAAUACCGUAUAACCCCUGAGGGGGAAAGAUUUAUCGCCAUGGGAGGAGCCCGCGUAGGAUUAGCUAGUUGGUGAGGUAACGGUCCCCCAUAGGGGACGAUCCUUAGCUGGUCUGAGAGGAUGAUGGGGCCGGGCUGGGACUGAGAUACGGCCCAGACUCCUACGGGAGGCAGCAGUGGGGAAUAUGGGACAAUGGGGGAAACCCUGAUCCAGCCAUGCCGCGUGUGUGAUGAAGGCCUUAGGGUUGU
rnacentral:rRNA from 1 species